ACGGUAGGGGGCGAGCGUUGUCCGGAAUUACGUGGGCGUAAAGGGUGCGUAGGCGGCAUGUUAAGUUGGAUGUGAAAUACCCGGGCUCAACCGUGGGGGGUGCAUUCAAAACUGGCAAGCUGGAGUGCAGGAGAGGGAAGCGGAAUUCCUAGUGUAGCGGUGAAAUGCGUAGAUAUUAGGAGGAACACCAGUGGCGAAGGCGGCUUUCUGGACUGUAACUGACGCUGAUG
rnacentral:rRNA from 1 species